rnacentral:tRNA from 1 species
AGCGGGGUAGAGGAAGUGGCUAUAGACUCAGCAGGCUCAUGACCUGAUGUUUGCAGGUUCGAAUCCUGUUCCCGCCG